rnacentral:rRNA from 1 species
CUAGGCCUACGGGGGGCAGCAGUGAGGAAUAUUGGUCAAUGGACGAGAGUCUGAACCAGCCACGUAGCGUGAAGGAUGACUGCCCUAUGGGUUGUAAACUUCUUUUAUAUGGGAAUAAAAUGUUCCACGUGUGGGAUUUUGUAUGUACCAUAUGAAUAAGGAUCGGCUAACUCCGUGCCAGCAGCCGCGGUAAUACGGAGGAUCCGAGCGUUAUCCGGAUUUAUUGGGUUUAAAGGGUGCGUAGGCGGAAUGCCAAGUCAGCGGUAAAAUCGCGGGGCUCAACCUCUUCGAGCCGUUGAAACUGG